rnacentral:rRNA from 1 species
CCCUACGGGGCGCAGCAGGCGCGAAAACUCUACAAUGCAGGCAACUGGAUAGGGGGAAAUCGAAUUAACACUCAUAUAGGAUGUCUGUCCUUCAGUCUAAAAAACGGGAGUUAGCAAGGGCCGGGCAAGACCGGUGCCAGCCGCCGCGGUAAUACCGGCGGCUGGAGUGGUGGCCGAUAUUAUUGGGUAUAAAGGGUCCGUAGCCGGCUAAGAAAGUCUUUUGGGAAAUCCAGCGGCUUAACCGUUGGGCGUCCGGGAGAUACUACAGUGCUUGGGACCGGGAGAGGUAGGAGGUACUCAGGGGGUGGGAGUGAAAUCCUGUAAUCC